AUUGAACGCUGGCGGCAGGCCUAACACAUGCAAGUCGAACGGUAACAGGAAGCAGCUUGCUGCUUCGCUGACGAGUGGCGGACGGGUGAGUAAUGUCUGGGAAACUGCCUGAUGGAGGGGGAUAACUACUGGAAACGGUAGCUAAUACCGCAUAACGUCGCAAGACCAAAGAGGGGGACCUUAGGGCCUCUUGCCAUCGGAUGUGCCCAGAUGGGAUUAGCUAGUAGGUGGGGUAACGGCUCACCUAGGCGACGAUCCCUAGCUGGUCUGAGAGGAUGACCAGCCACACUGGAACUGAGACACGGUCCAGACUCCUACGGGAGGCAGCAGUGGGGAAUAUUGCACAAUGGGCGCAAGCCUGAUGCAGCCAUGCCGCGUGUAUGAAGAAGGCCUUCGGGUUGUAAAGUACUUUCAGCGGGGAGGAAGGGAGUAAAGUUAAUACCUUUGCUCAUUGACGUUACCCGCAGAAGAAGCACCGGCUAACUCCGAG
rnacentral:rRNA from 1 species